GAUGAACGCUGGCGGCGUGCUUAACACAUGCAAGUCGAACGAAGUCUCCGGACUUAGUGGCGGACGGGUGAGUAACACGUGGGAACGUGCCCUUUGGUACGGGAUAACUCAGGGAAACUUGAGCUAAUACCGUAUGUGCCCUUCGGGGGAAAGAUUUAUCGCCAUUGGAGCGGCCCGCGUCUGAUUAGCUAGUUGGUGAGGUAAAGGCUCACCAAGGCGACGAUCAGUAGCUGGUCUGAGAGGAUGAUCAGCCACAUUGGGACUGAGACACGGCCCAAACUCCUACGGGAGGCAGCAGUGGGGAAUCUUGCGCAAUGGGCGAAAGCCUGACGCAGCCAUGCCGCGUGAAUGAUGAAGGUCUUAGGAUUGUAAAAUUCUUUCACCGGGGACGAUAAUGACGGUACCCGGACAAGAAGCCCCGGCUAACUUCGUGCCAGCCGCCGCGGUAAGAC
rnacentral:rRNA from 1 species